rnacentral:rRNA from 1 species
UACAGAGGUCUCAAGCGUUGUUCGGAUUCAUUGGGCGUAAAGGGUGCGUAGGUGGCGCGCUAAGUCAGGUGUGAAAUUUCGGAGCUCAACUCCGAAACUGCAUUUGAUACUGGCGUGCUUGAGGACUGGAGAGGAGACUGGAAUUUACGGUGUAGCGGUGAAAUGCGUAGAUAUCGUAAGGAAGACCAGUGGCGAAGGCGGGUCUCUGGACAGUUCCUGACGCUGAGGCACGAAGGUCAGGGGAGCAAACGGG